CUUCUAAAAGACUCUGUUAGUCAGACAUUUGCACUGAAAAUAAACCUAAAAACAGUGAAUUAGGAUCAGCUGUACAACUCUUCAACAACAGGAAAGCAUCACUGAAGGCUAUGCACUGAAAAGCACUGUCCAAUGAAAAAGCAGUGAAAGACCUAGAGAGAAACCUGAGAACAUCUGGCACCUGGCUGGCAGCUUCACAGAUGUGAGCAAAAAUAAUAGGUGCAAAUCCUUUGGAAAAACAUGGGCUGGAGGUUGCAUUGGAAGGGGUGGCAGUGUAGAAUUUCAUCCUUCUGUGAAUAAAUGGAUUGACUUACAAAAAACAAAGGUGUAAUGAAUGUAAGUUACUGAAAACCUGAAGCAUGAUGACCGUACAUCUAAUGCAUUACUAUAAUGGAAACUGCUGGGUGUAAAAGUUAUCAUUUGUAGUAUUGUUUAAGAGCUUCAGCAAUUUUUAUUGUGCAUUAUUAAUUGUGAGAUGCCUCCUGGGCAAAGCUAGGCAAUAUAAAAUAGGAAGCCAUGCUUAAACCCAAGCUUAUUAAAUGCUUGAUAUAAUUUUGAUUUAUCUAGCCCUUAUAUUUAUCCCUUGUGGUAACUUUUACAAUUCUAGAUACUAAGUUAGGCUUCUGUACACAUUGCUUCAUGAUUCUCCUUCAAGGUUCCAGCAGAAAACUGUAGAGCUGUUGAUACUUACAAGUUCAGUUUACAAAUCUUUGACAUCCCAGAACUUUUUCCACUAGAAAAAAAAUCAAUGUGUCUCACAGUGAUGUCUUCAGUGCUUUUUGGUGAGAUAUAAUAUGACCGAGGAAUAAAGCAGAAGUCUGUGAGGCACAAUGAAAACACCAGAUUUCUGCAGAAAAUAUUUAUAUAAAUAUGCUAGACUUAAAGUGAAAUAACGUUAAAUGGCUUCUUUGAAGACAUUCACCUUUUCUGUCUGGAAAUCUCAUUUUACAACUUCCUUUUCCUUCUGACUGACACUCACUCUGAAGGAUGCUGCAGUUUUCCAUGUGAGGAAUGCUUGAUGUAGAAAGCUUCAUACUCUGUCCUUGUGUUGUAUUGUUUUCUGUUAGAGGAUAAAGGAACUUUGGCUCCAAUGCUUUAAACCACACUUGAGAGUGGAACCUCCAAUCACUUUAGCAGGUUUCUUCUAAGAACUCU